rnacentral:rRNA from 1 species
UACGUAGGGUGCAAGCGUUGUCCGGAAUUAUUGGGCGUAAAGAGCUCGUAGGUGGCCUGUCGCGUCGGCUGUGAAAACUCGGGGCUCAACUCCGAGCUUGCAGUCGAUACGGGCAGGCUAGAGUUCGGCAGGGGAGACUGGAAUUCCUGGUGUAGCGGUGGAAUGCGCAGAUAUCAGGAAGAACACCCGUGGCGAAGGCGGCUCUCUGGAACGCAACUGACGCUGAGACGCGAAAGCGUGGGGAGCAAACAGG